GAAAAGCCCCUCUGAGGAAGUGACAUUUAAAUGGAAGUCUAAUUAAAUUACUCUAGGAAGAGGACACAGCAAGUACAAAUGUCAGAAGACCAGUACAGGUGUCACCGGACUAAAACUGGAGUAUCAGCAGGCAUUCCCUGCUGGAGGCUUAAGGGCAGAAUCCAUUUCCUUGCAUUUUCCAGCUUCUAGAGGCAUCUCCCUGGUCCUUGCAUACUGUCGCCAACAUUUCAGAACUGGCAAUAGGGCAGUACUUUCUGUCAGAAUGACCUCUUUCACCAUCUACCUCAAGUUGACAACUGAUGCAAGACAUCUACUUUCCCACAGAAAACAUAGAAAAGAACAGCCAAGGCUCUUUAUUAUCUUGUCCUCAAGCUCUCUCAGGUGUUGGAGAUAAUCAAGAUAAUCCAGAUCGCAGAUACUAUAGUAUGUUUGACUUUCAAGAUAUAAUCCAGUGAAGAAUGAGGUGGGAAAUUUAUGACGUGAGAGAGAGAGAGAGACUAACACAAGAGCAAAGUCUUCGAAUAG
rnacentral:lncRNA from 1 species